GGGAGCUUGCUCCCUGAUGUUAGCGGCGGACGGGUGAGUAACACGUGGGUAACCUGCCUGUAAGACUGGGAUAACUCCGGGAAACCGGGGCUAAUACCGGAUGGUUGUUUGAACCGCAUGGUUCAAACAUAAAAGGUGGCUUCGGCUACCACUUACAGAUGGACCCGCGGCGCAUUAGCUAGUUGGUGAGGUAACGGCUCACCAAGGCAACGAUGCGUAGCCGACCUGAGAGGGUGAUCGGCCACACUGGGACUGAGACACGGCCCAGACUCCUACGGGAGGCAGCAGUAGGGAAUCUUCCGCAAUGGACGAAAGUCUGACGGAGCAACGCCGCGUGAGUGAUGAAGGUUUUCGGAUCGUAAAGCUCUGUUGUUAGGGAAGAACAAGUACCGUUCGAAUAGGGCGGUACCUUGACGGUACCUAACCAGAAAGCCACGGCUAACUACGUGCCAGCAGCCGCGGUAAUACGUAGGUGGCAAGCGUUGUCCGGAAUUAUUGGGCGUAAAGGGCUCGCAGGCGGUUUCUUAAGUCUGAUGUGAAAGCCCCCGGCUCAACCGGGGAGGGUCAUUGGAAACUGGGGAACUUGAGUGCAGAAGAGGAGAGUGGAAUUCCACGUGUAGCGGUGAAAUGCGUAGAGAUGUGGAGGAACACCAGUGGCGAAGGCGACUCUCUGGUCUGUAACUGACGCUGAGGAGCGAAAGCGUGGGGAGCGAAC
rnacentral:rRNA from 2 species